rnacentral:rRNA from 1 species
AGUGAACGCUGGCGGUAGGCCUAACACAUGCAAGUCGAACGGCAGCACAGUAAGAGCUUGCUCUUACGGGUGGCGAGUGGCGGACGGGUGAGGAAUACAUCGGAAUCUACUUUUUCGUGGGGGAUAACGUAGGGAAACUUACGCUAAUACCGCAUACGACCUACGGGUGAAAGCAGGGGAGCUUCGGACCUUGCGCGAUUGAAUGAGCCGAUGUCGGAUUAGCUAGUUGGCGGGGUAAAGGCCCACCAAGGCGACGAUCCGUAGCGGGUCUGAGAGGAUGAUCCGCCACACUGGAACUGAGACACGGUCCAGACUCCUACGGGAGGCAGCAGUGGGGAAUAUUGGACAAUGGGCGCAAGCCUGAUCCAGCCAUACCGCGUGGGUGAAGAAGGCCUUCGGGUUGUAAAGCCCUUUUGUUGGGAAAGAAAAGCAGCAGGUUAAUACCCCGCUGUUCUGACGGUACCCAAAGAAUAAGCACCGGCUAACUUCGUG